AGGACGAACGCUGGCGGCGUGCCUAACACAUGCAAGUCGAGCGAGGAGAUUCCUCGGGAUGAUCCUAGCGGCGGACGGGUGAGUAACACGUGGGCAACCUGCCUCAUAGAGAGGAAUAGCCUUCCGAAAGGGAGAUUAAUACCUCAUAACAUUGCAGUUUCGCAUGGAACAGCAAUUAAAGGAGUAAUCCGCUAUGAGAUGGGCCCGCGGCGCAUUAGCUGGUUGGUGAGGUAACGGCUCACCAAGGCGACGAUGCGUAGCCGACCUGAGAGGGUGAUCGGCCACAUUGGGACUGAGACACGGCCCAGACUCCUACGGGAGGCAGCAGUGGGGAAUAUUGCACAAUGGGGGAAACCCUGAUGCAGCCAACGCCGCGUGAGUGAUGACGGCCUUCGGGUUGUAAAGCUCUGUCUUCAGGGACGAUAAUGACGGUACCUGAGGAGGAAGCCACGGCUAACUACGUGCCAGCAGCUGC
rnacentral:rRNA from 1 species